GAUGAACGCUGGCUACAGGCUUAACACAUGCAAGUCGAGGGGAAACGACGGGGAAGCUUGCUUCCCCGGGCGUCGACCGGCGCACGGGUGAGUAACGCGUAUCCAACCUGCCUCUGACUGAGGGAUAACCCGUCGAAAGUCGGCCUAAUACCUCAUGGCAUCGUCUGCGGGCAUCCAACGACGAUUAAAGAUUUCAUCGGUCAGGGAUGGGGAUGCGUCUGAUUAGCUUGUUGGCGGGGUAACGGCCCACCAAGGCUACGAUCAGUAGGGGUUCUGAGAGGAAGGUCCCCCACAUUGGAACUGAGACACGGUCCAAACUCCUACGGGAGGCAGUAGUGAGGAAUAUUGGUCAAUGGGCGGGAGCCUGAACCAGCCAAGUAGCGUGCAGGAUGACGGCCCUAUGGGUUGUAAACUGCUUUUAUGCGGGGAUAAAGUGAGGGACGUGUCCUUCAUUGCAGGUACCGCAUGAAUAAGGACCGGCUAAUUCCGUG
rnacentral:rRNA from 1 species